UAGGCUGGGUUUCUGUACAGAACUUUGAGAUAUCAGCUGAUGUAAGAAGGGCUAUAUAAAAACAUUUGAUUUGAUUUGAUAUUUGUCGUCCCACUGUUCUUAACUUGGGAUCGGUCCAUAUCUCACCAUCUGUUGCGUCAUCGAUCUCUCCAGAGUCCUAUUAAUCAAACCUCUCACACAGGGAAUCAAUCAACAACCACUCAACAAUAACACACUCAUACAGGUGAAAACAGCCCACAACACAGUGAUUCCAACAUUUUUCCAUUUCCCAAACAUACUAUCGAACCACCCUGUCAGGGAAGUCUCCACCCCAGAGUUCUCUGCUAACUCAUUUGCCAAUGUGGUUAAACCAGCCAGGGCCUUGGUCACUGAUCCAUCUGGAGCUGUGUGAUUUGGGAUGAAAGUACAGCACAUUGAUCCAAAUAUCACACACACACACCACCCUUCUCAGCCAGUAAUAUAUCCAAUGCUAUUCUAUUCUGCCAAGCCAUCAAACUAGCUGCCUCCGUCUGUUCUGCUAAUCCUUUUAUCGCAUCACUACUAUAGUUGAUGAAGCGCUGUUGAUUAUGAAUAGAUAUAAUUUAUCCAAUCCACAUUCUUAUUUAAGGUGGAGCACCAGAAAAUGCUUGACUCUAACCCUGCUAAUAUUUGGUUUCUUGCUUUAAAUUCAUAUGGCACCCCUCGUGGAACCCCAAUACUAUCAAUGUAUACUCUAUCGUCGAAGGACCCUGACGGAGCACUCCUCCUCUCUCUUCUGCCUUGCUCUAGGUCUUUGUGUUGAAUAAGGGUGAAGGGCAAGCCUAACUGUACCAAUGCUCAAAUACCUGUCCAAUUCAUAGGUAAAUUCGGCCACAGUUUCACUCCCCCACACAACCACCAAACAUCAGCUCUUGGCUUCUCAAUCUUACUGAAGUCCUCGGAUCUCAACCACCCUGUCAGAUCCCUCAUAGUCUCAUCAGUAGUGACAUUUUCAGUCCUGUUACAUCUGGCCACCUCCCCCAAGUCUCUCCCAUGAGUAUUGUACCGGGCCAAACCGUAAUUGCCUCCUCCUGCCACUAUGAAGGGGGGAAACCUAGAUCUACUAGGCACAUGGGGAUACAAAUAAUGUAGAUCAGUACAGCUAUCAUUGUCAGGCUUUCCUGCUUUCAUGAAAAGAUUUACCAUACACGCUACCCCUCUAGGUGAAUUAGUUGCAUCAAGUGGGAAUGGUGUAGUCGUUAAUCGGGGUUUGGCUGCUCCACAGGCAUAACCUUCUUUCUUAGCCAUAGACCUUGCUGUAUAUUGGAUCCACUCCAUCCAUAAAUUAGUAUCCGCGAACCCUAUUUCUACCUCUAUAACUUCGUUAACAGCUCUGGCAGUCUGUCCUGCUCCUCCUCUGGCUCCUCCUUGACUUACCGCUGGCUGAAUGGCAGCUCUGAGGUCACAGCCAUUGAUGGAGUUCAGCUUGGUGAUGGCAACAGCACUCUCACCAUAGUCAGAGUGACCCGGUAUGACCAGGGGCCAUUUAGCUGUAAUGUGUCCAACCCAGGCCCCCAGUGUCUGGUCUGGAGCGCAGUCACGAGCUCUGCAGGUCGGCUACUGCGUAGCAUCCUAGCGAUGACAAAAGCCACGGUCUUCCCCAGAAAGACUAUGUAAAUCACGAUUGUCAGACGGCCAAACAACUUUUUGGAAGGCCGUUUUGGGCUCUAAAAUUACUUUAUUAUUAUCAAAUUCGAUCCCCGCGCUGAAUUAUUUGAAAGUUCAAAUCAAGAUAUUUAAUUAAAUUGUGAUCCAUUCUGAUGACUACAUUUGUCAUCACACAGGACCACGUGCUGACACAGACCAAUCACUGACACAGACCAAUCACGGGCCGGCAGACUACGAGGCUACAAUUAUCAUUGUAUCAGGAACCAAGGUACAGAAGUAGUCUGAAACACAGGCAUUUGUUACAUCAGAAGAGAUGGUGGCAUCUGUAGUCGUCUUUCUUACCAUGGCAAUACUCUCAGUAUAUUGUGCUGGUCUAGAAGUGCUUCCACCUGGACCUGCGAAUGGAACAUUGGGAGGAAAUGUGUUUUUCAAAACCACCAUCAAUCCAACCACACUUAGUGCAAUUGUCUGGACUUUUGGUGACCCCCCUGUCAUCAUUGUUGACUUUCUCAGUUCUGAAGGUCCUGUGACCGGAGAGGGAUAUGUUGGCAGGAUCAGUCUGGACAAUAGCACUGGAUCUCUGGAGCUCUUGAAACUGACCAUUGCUGACAAUGGAGAAUACAGAGUGAUCCUAAGAGAGUCUGAUUUGAUGUAUUUGUCAAAUACUUCACUGAAUGUCUAUGCGGAGGGCUCUCUAACUCCAGACGGACUGUCUGUUGUUGUCAUCACUGGGAUUGUGAUAAUAGUGUUGCUGGUUGUGGAAGUGGCAGUUAGUGUUGCAGUCUAUUUCAUCAAGAAAAAUGGAAGCAAUGUUGAGCCAAUGCAUCGAGGAGGCUCGCAACAACAUGUAUAUGAGAACCCAUCACCUGUGUAUGAGAACCCAUCACCUGUGUAUGAGAACCCAUCACCUGAGAACACAUCACCUGUGUAUGAGAACCCAUCACCUGUGUAUGAGAACCCAUCACCUGUGCGUGACAACACACAACAAAAUCAAUCUCCACCUCUACCCCUGACACUGUCCCAUAGUAAUGAAUGUGUCGGGAGUCGGGACGAGAACGACAGGUAGUCAGCGUUUCUUGGCUAGACAAACUCAUGAAUCAGCUGGCAUCAUUUUUAUGGAUAUACUGUAUAUAUAUAUAUAUAUAUACACACACAAAGAAAUGUCAGUUAAAAAAGGUGAAAUUAAGCAGUUUUUCCAGCUUCAGUUUGAAGUGAUUAUGUUAGCUGUGUUGUUGGCUAGCUCCUCUGCUCUGAACAACAGUGUCCUGACGAGUGAGCACAUUUUCUAUGGCAGGCGAAAUCACGCCUCAAUAGCCCAUUGUUAAGUAUGUAUACAAAUAAAUGUCACUAGAAAACAG